UAACAUACAUGGGAUGGGGAGAAGUCAUUUCUUUGAAGAUACUUAAAAUAUGCAAUGCAUAGAGCAGAAUACCCAUUAGCAUUACAUAUUUCUGCCACUUUCUCCCCCAAAUGAACCAUUUUUUUCUUCCUUUGCUUGCGACUCUUAAAUUGAUUACUGCCUCGAUAAAAUAAAUUAAUGCCAAUGUCCAAGGUUGGAUACCUUGCACUCCUAAGCAAAACAUAUCUUGCACUCCUAAGCAAAACAUAUCUACUGAAGUCACAAGUUUAUUGGUGUGUGUGUGUUCAUCAGACUGUGCAAGGAACAUUCAAUUUCUCCUCUGUGUGGCACAAAUGCAAACAGGAAUAAGAGAAAAUGAAGGCCAGAGGAAGACUGAAAGACAUUAAUUAGUGUCUUAAGCUCACAGAUAUUAAAUAGCAUUACAAGUGCAAGACAGAUUCAAAAGGAGCAAGCUUUUCACAGGACAACUGCAACCUAUGCGGGAUUAUGCAUUGAGCAGGAACUUCAGCGCUGAAUCUGCUGAUCUAAUCCUGACCUGCUGAUCACUGGAUAUCUGCUUGGAUCUUGAAUAUAUUCAGCCACCCUCUGCCAGAUCAGGGUGCACCGCUAUCUGGAUUUGGGACUGCAGCAGUUAGCCCGUGAGCUGAUCUACAUAUGCAGAGGUCUCAAGAGGAAGUCCGUUUCCUGAUGUGCCUGGAAUUGUCAGUAAUACUCAUUAGGAAAUGGGAAGGAAGGUGCUGUCCUCUGAAGAUGCUGGCCACAGAGAAUGGCGAAACGUUAGGAAGAAAAACCUUCAGAACACGGCCAAAGAGCCUGAAAAACCCACAACAACCAAGGUGAAACUGAUUGAAACAAUGUACUUAAUUGGGUUGAUGCACAAUAAGCAUGCAUAAAAUUGCAUUCUGCAUCCUAAUGGAGAUUUAUAGGAGGUUUUGAUAUAGCUCAAGGCUCUCCCUAACUUGGUAUGUUUCUGAGGUCUUGGACUACCACCCUGACAUUCUGCUGUUUCCCCAUUUGCUUACCGUAUUCUCUCCUAGGUGGGGCAUCCUGCUAUUUCAAAGCCGCCCAGUUGACCCAGUAGAACACACACACCACUGAUAUGACAGCUGUUGUGGUUGCUUCUUCUCCCUCUGCAUUUUCUUUCUUAAUUGGAAGAUGACUUUGAGGAACAGAAUACCUAGAAUUUGUGGCAACACAGAAUUAUUAGAACUAUUUGUUGAGUCAUGUCAUGCCUUCCAGAUUAUUUAAACUCUUGUUUUAAUAAUUAAGGAAGGAUAGAAAGAAAGUAUCCAUGCUAUUUGUGUAUCCGUGGAUUUAUCUUAUCAUUUGGAUUUAUAUUCUGCUUUUCACCCAACAACAGGACUUAAGGAACCUUACAGUAAUAUUGAAUAAAAAGUUGAGUUAAAACUUCA
rnacentral:lncRNA from 1 species